UAUGACGCCAUUUUUCAAUUGUGUUGCAUCUCGCGCGAGUACGUUGUCGUCGAGUGGUGGUUCUUUAUUCUAUGGAGUGGUUCUGAAAGCGCUGCGUUAGGGGCGACUGCAACCAGGCGUUGCGGCAAGUUACGGUGGGAACUUCUGUCCGUGCUGUGUGAUUGCGACGAGGACGACUGCCGCCAGCAGCGGCGUGUCGCCGAUUUCGUCUUUGCCGACAUCGAGCAAGUGCAGCGCCGGAAGUGUUGCGUUUUGCACUGCAUUUUCCUUGUGAUAUGGGAGAUCGCAACGCAGAGACGACCAGAUGCACACGAAAGACUACCAGCGGAGAGUGACCUGUGCCAUAUUUCUCUUAACCUCUCAGGUAUUCAAGAAAUGGCAACAUCCAGAAGAAGACGCCAUCUUAUCCAGCACGUUAUGGGUACACUCUGGUGGCUCCCGCCCCUGCAUCCUACGACCACCGUGUCCUCACUAUGUUCACUAGGGAGUUCGAAGCCUUUGGCGGCUCCUGCCACUGCGUCCUGCCACCACCGUGUCCUGGCUACGUCCACUAGGGAGUUGGCAGCCUUCGUGAUGAUGCCAAGCAGGCUGGAAGCUGACAGAACGAUCGAGGUUGCCUCGAAAUUUUACCCAAGCCGUGCCACACACUUGGGCCAGGCCUCUUGCAAACGACGUAUAACCAGGCUCAACGCAGGAUGUCGAGUGAGUCCGGAGAUCGAGGCAACCUGCUGUGCAACCAGCGUGCAACCUUUGGUGACCCUCAAUAUGUUCCACCUAUUUCACAGCUGCACUCAGCUUCCACCUAUCCAAACCGCAUCGCCAGCUGUGGUCACUCAUCGAACCAUGGAUGAAUGUUGGGGUGGAGUGAUUUGAAGAGACAUUUUUUUGUCUCUUCAAAUCCUUAGCAAAUACUUGUGUUAUUAUAAUUAAUAUGUGUCUUUAGUGCCUAGUUUUUAAUGGUUCCUUUCUAUUAGAAUUCUCGCCAUCGAUUCCUGCUAUUAUAAUGUAUGUCUGUCUUUAUGCACAGUUUUUCAUAGUUCUUUUGUACUUGUCUAUGUAAUUGAUAGGUUCAUACUUCUUGUUAUACAGAAGGCUAAAAUGCAAACUUACGGCAUUUUUUUCUUCCUUUUGAUAAUCUACAGCACUGCAAAGUGUUCAAGAAAUGUAACCCAACGUGGGCUCUGGUGCAGGAAAAAUUUAAGAGCAAUAUAGAGUACUUAUUUCAAGCACCCAUUAUUUUUGGAAAAGUAAAGAAUAUAGGAGCACAAAAAAGAAAAUAUUAAACUAGAGAAACAUGAGUUCCCCUCAUAAGUCUGAUAAUAAUGUGACUUCCCUUCACUGCAAAGACACCAGUAAUAUACUCGCAUACAAGGUUUGAAACAAGAAAGCUAUGAUGCCCUUGGCAUUUCUCAGUGCCUAUUUGUCACACUGACGAAUGUCAAAGGCAUCGUAGGUUUCAUGUACACAUUGGUUGUGUUACACUUUUGAGUAUUGCAUUUCUCAAACACAAAGGUUUACAGCAGUGCUUUAAAUAGCAAAUGCAUUUCCUAAUUUAUUAGUGCAAGAGGAACAGUACAGAUCAUGUAAAAAUUUUUUUACAGACUAUAUGUCCAUGGAUGCACGCUUCUGAUGACAUAGCAGUGACGUGGUCGUGGGAUGAAUGACUUUAUUUCAGAUUUAAAUAUUGGCUUCCAAGUCUGGGUUAGUCUCCUACACUGAAUAGUCUAGGUCAGAGCUCAUUUACUAGAGAAAGUGAAUUAAACUAGGAAUUAUAAACAUCAAAAGAUCUUGUUUAGGAAAUUAAUGUGACAAUCAGCAAGGUUCUUUGGGUAUUCAUUUCCAAAUUUGUAGGAUAUAUUUUAUGACUGGUUUCAUUAUUGUGAGAACAAAUAUUUGUUUAUUGUCACACCAGAGUUGGCUGCCCCCAUUUGUAUACAGCCCCUUUACAGGCUGAAAAUUCAGUGUGUUACCCUAUUUACUCGCAUAAUGAUCGCACUUUAUUGUAAAAAAAUUUGACUCAAAUUCAGAGGUGCAAUCAUUACGCUGGGCAAAUUUCCCACCAAAAGAAAAAAAUAGAUCCUCUGGCAUUUGCUACGGGAUGACAACAGGUCAACAAAGAGGUGGCUGCCUCUGUAUGUACUGCGGGACACACACACAAAACAAAAACAUGGUGGCCGGCUGAGCAAGCCGAACGCGCCGAACACAAUUUUUUUUUCUUUUCGUGAGUACAUUACGUGCAUUCAAACAGUUUCUUCCGUAUCAGUAAUGAAUAAUAUCGGCAAGUUUGCGGCAAUAACAUAGCCAUGUCCACUUUGAGGGGACAGAAACAGAUGGGCGCGCUUAGCUGGGUGUGACAUAGGAACACAUGGCGGGCAUGCUGCGGAAACUGCGGCAUUUGUCUUCACCGCUAUCCUAAUAUGGCACGUUUCCGCUUAGGGUGGGCGAAUAUCUUAGCUGCGUUACAAACGUCGGCGAAUGAAUAGGGUACACUUCUAACGUAUCACUGUAAACGUGGCUGCUAUCAUUGCCACUCGCGAUUUGUUGCGUGCCCACAAGUGCAGACGAGGAGAAACGAAAGACGCCUUUUUUGUGGUUUUUGUUAACCACAACCAUUACAAAGACUACACAUAAUAAAGGCAAGUUUGGUUGUAGCUUUUUUUUGUCAUAUAAGUGCGGAAAGUGAUGGAAGGAAUGAAAUGGGGCAUCUGCUUAAGAAUGUUUGGUGCGUGCAGACUACUUGGUUUGUCUUGAAGAGUUGUUCUCAUAGCAGUUGACAGAUGGUAAGCGCGAUCAUUAUUAGCUAGACUUGGCACAUGACAUAUCGCUGCGGCAAGUUUGGGGUGCAAUCUUACACGAGAAAUAAAAAAAUCGAAUUUUGACAUCAGAAUUUAGGGGUGCGAUCAUUAUGCGAGUAAAUACGGUAUUAGGUUGUUUUUGGUUUUACGCACUCAAUGUUAAGGGAUGCAAAUGGUGACAUACAACAGAAUGCAAAAAUGACUAAUGAAUGCAAGCAGGGCGUGGGGCUUUUUAGGCAGAUGCAUGCGUGUGCUAUUUAUAAAGCUCCCCAUGGUAUUUAUUUAUUUAUUUAUUUUAAAUACUUUCAAGGCCCGUAGGCGCUACAGAAAGGAGUGGUACAUAUACAUAGAAAAAAUGCAGAUGAAUGAAUAAAACAUUUGUUAGAUGGCUUGGAGAACAGCAGUCUUGAACCCCGAUGAGUCUAUAAUAGUAGCGACCGAUGCGGGAAGGUGGUUCCAGUCAUUGCAGGUGCGAGGUAAAAAAGAGUAAUAGUACGCGUUCGUGCGACAAGAUGGCACGAAAACUUUAUAAAGGUGAUCACUGCGGGAUGAAAAGUAGGAAGGACGAGUAAGAAGUUUUGCUUUUAAUACCGGGUUGUGGUAAAUCUUGUGGAAAAGGCAGAGGCGACUGUA